UAACUGAAGAGUUUGAUCAUGGCUCAGAUUGAACGCUGGCGGCAGGCUUAACACAUGCAAGUCGAGCGGGCGAGGUUGCUUCGGUAACUGAGCUAGCGGCGGACGGGUGAGUAAAGCUUAGGAAUCUGCCUAUUAGUGGGGGACAACAUUCCGAAAGGGAUGCUAAUACCGCAUACGUCCUACGGGAGAAAGCAGGGGAUCACUUGUGACCUUGCGCUAAUAGAUGAGCCUAAGUCGGAUUAGCUAGUU
rnacentral:ncRNA from 1 species